rnacentral:rRNA from 1 species
CCUACGGGUGGCAGCAGUGAGGAAUAUUGGUCAAUGGGCGCGAGCCUGAACCAGCCAAGUAGCGUGAAGGAUGACUGCCCUACGGGUUGUAAACUUCUUUUAUAAAGGAAUAAAGUGAUGCACGUGUGCCUUUUUGUAUGUACUUUAUGAAUAAGGAUUGGCUAACUUCGUGCCAGCAGCCGCGGUUAUACGGAGGAUUCGAGCGUUAUUCGGAUUUAUUGGGUUUAAAAGGAGCGUAGAUGGGUUGUUAAGUUAGUUGUGAAAGUUUGCGGCUCAAACGUCAAAUUGCAAUUGAUACUGGCGGUCUUGAGUGGAGGUGAGGUAGGCGGAAUUCGUGGUGUAGCGGUGAAAUGCUUAGAUAUCACGGAGAACUCCGAUUGCGAAGGCAGCUUACUAGACUGCCACUGACAUUGAUGCUCGAAAGUGUGGGUAUCAAACAGGAUUAGAUACCCCAGUAGUC